rnacentral:rRNA from 1 species
AGCACCGGCUAACUACGUGCCAGCAGCCGCGGUAAUACGUAGGGUGCAAGCGUUAUCCGGAAUUAUUGGGCGUAAAGGGCUCGUAGGCGGUUCGUCGCGUCCGGUGUGAAAGUCCAUCGCUUAACGGUGGAUCUGCGCCGGGUACGGGCGGGCUGGAGUGCGGUAGGGGAGACUGGAAUUCCCGGUGUAACGGUGGAAUGUGUAGAUAUCGGGAAGAACACCAAUGGCGAAGGCAGGUCUCUGGGCCGUCACUGACGCUGAGGAGCGAAAGCGUGGGGAGCGAACAGGAUUAGAUACCCUGGUAGUCCACGCCGUAAACGGUGGAUGCUGGAUGUGGGGCCCGUUCCACGGGUUCCGUGUCGGAGCUAACGCGUUAAGCAUCCCGCCUGGGGAGUACGGCCGCAAGGCUAAAACUCAAAGAAAUUGACGGGGGCCCGCACAAGCGGCGGAGCAUGCGGAUUAAUUCGAUGCAACGCGAAGAACCUUACCUGGGCUUGACAUGUUCCCGACCGCGGCAGAGAUGUCGUUUCCCUUCGGGGCGGGUUCACAGGUGGUGCAUGGUCGUCGUCAGCUCGUGUCGUGAGAUGUUGGGUUAAGUCCCGCAACGAGCGCAACCCUCGCCCUGUGUUGCCAGCACGUCAUGGUGGGAACUCACGGGGGACCGCCGGGGUCAACUCGGAGGAAGGUGGGGAUGACGUCAAAUCAUCAUGCCCCUUACGUCCAGGGCUUCACGCAUGCUACAAUGGCCGGUACAACGGGAUGCGACACGGCGACGUGGAGCGGAUCCCUGAAAACCGGUCUCAGUUCGGAUUGGAGUCUGCAACCCGACUCCAUGAAGGCGGAGUCGCUAGUAAUCGCGGAUCAGCAACGCCGCGGUGAAUGCGUUCCCGGGCCUUGUACACACCGCCCGUCAAGUCAUGAAAGUGGGUAGCACCCGAAGCCGGUGGCCUAACCCUUUGUGGAUGGAGCCGUCUAAGGUGAGACUCGUGAUUGGGACUAAGUCGUAACAAGGUAGCCGUACCGGAAGGUGCGGCUG